rnacentral:lncRNA from 1 species
GCACUGCUGUGGCCCAGAAGCCCAAGGAUUCCCAUGGUUGGCAGGGCAAUGGUGCAGGGAGGCCCCAGGAGGCUGAGCCCUCACCUCCAGCAGGAUUCUCAGGCUCAUUGCCUCCUCACUCACCAUGAUCCACCAGAGGAGACAGAGAACAGGGCUCCCAGCCCUUGACAGGGUCCUGUGCCUUGCAUCCUCUCCUGCUCUGAGCACCUGUGUGUGCCUUUCAGAGGGACUGGACCUCAGCUCAGGCAGUUGAGGACUGGCAGGAGUGCCGAGCUGGGCUGCACAGGAGGAGACUGAGAGGCAACCUGGAGGCGCGCAGGCAGGCAGUGGGGCCGACAGAUGGAGGUCUGCUCUCUGAUAAGUCCAUGAGCACCUGCGGCACGUCUGAGGGUGCCAAGUGUUUGAGGCCAACAGUAAACAAAGAUUUAUCCUCCCAACACACGUACAGGCCUUGGAGGCCAAAAGGACAGCCCAACAGGUUGGUCAGACUUAUUUGCGAGGGCCCAGGGUGAGCCAGGCAAUGGGAAUGUUCCAGGCAGAGCCAAAAGCUGAGAUGCCUGGGGCCGUGGGGCUGGAGGUGACUCAGCAGGAAGGGGUAAGGGGUCUGCUGUGGCUCCAGUAUGACAUGAACUGGAGAGGCGGUUGGACUGGCAUGUGAAGGGCUGGAAAGGGUCGUUGGCCGUGUCCUGGGUGCUAGCCACGGAGGAUGUUGACCAGAGCAUUUGAGGUUGGUGACUGAGAGGGCCACCGAACUGAGAUCAGGUAGGAGAGGAGGACUGGGUGUCUGUGUAGCACAUUUUGUGGGGCCUUCAAGUCACAUCAGUGUCAGAGUUUACACGAGGAGCCUUUCAUUAGGGGUCCUGCAGGCCAGCCCUAGACAGAUAGCCCUGGUCCCUGCAGGACCUGGGGGUAGAACACAUCUGCAUAUGUAAUACACAUUAAGCUAAAUGCACAUGUGUGAGCACACCAGUUAGAAUAUGUGCAUGCCUUUCUUAACUGUUUGCUGGGAAGGCCUAGAAGCAGCGACACCCCAG